rnacentral:rRNA from 1 species
AAUAAGGUUGUAGUUGGACUGAAGGGGUGGGUCGAUCAGUUCGCCUCACGGUGAGCACCGGCCUGCUCGUCCCUACUACCGGCGAUACGCUCCUGACCUUAAUUGGUCGGGUCGUUCCUCCGACAUUGUUACUUUGAAGAAAUUAGAGUGCUCAAAGCAGGCCUACGCUUGUAUACAUUAGCAUGGGAUAACAUCAUAGGAUUUCGGUCCUAUUAUGUUGGCCUUCGGGAUCGGAGUAAUGAUUAACAGGGACAGCCGGGGGCAUUCGUAUUUCAUAGUCAGAGGUGAAAUUCUUGGAUUUAUGAAAGAUGAAAAACUACGAAAGCAUUUGCCAUGUAUGUUUUCAUUAAUCAAGAACGAAAGUUGGGGGCUCAAAGACGAUCAGAUACCGUCCUAGUCUCAACUAUAAACGAUGCGGACCAGGGAUCGACGAAUGUUGCUUUUAGGACUCCGCCGGCACCUUAUGAGAAAUCAAAGUCUUUGGGUUCCGGGGGGAGUAUGGUCGCAAGGCUGAAACAUAAUGGAAUUGAUGGAAGGGCACCACCAGGAGUGGAGCCUACGGCUUAAUUUGACUCAACACGGGGAAACUUACCAGGUCCAGACAUAGUAAGGAUUGACAAACUGAGAGCUCUUUCUUAAUUCUAUGGGUGGUGGUGCAUGGCCGUUCUUAGUUGGUGGAGCGAUUUGUCUGGUUAAUUCCGUUAACGAAUGAGACCUUAGCCUGCUAACUAGCUACACAGGUGAUCCUCCGUGGCUAGCUUCUUAGAGGGACUAUGGCCUUUUAGGCCAAGGAAGUUUGAGGCAAUAACAGGUCUGUGAUGCCCUUAGAUGUUCUGGGCCGCAUGCGCGAUACACUGAUGUAUUCAACGAGUCUAUAGCCCUGGCUGACAGGCCCGGGUAAUCUUUGAAAUUUCAUUGUGAUGGGGAUAGAUCAUUACAAUUGUUGGUCUUCAACGAAGAAUUCCUAGUAAGAGUGAGUCAUCAGCUCGCGUUGACUACGUCCCUGCCCUUUGUACACACCGCCCGUCGCUCCUACCGAUUGAAUGGACCGGUGAAGUGUUCGAAUCGCGGUACUGUUGGUGGUUCGCUGCCCGCGACGUCGCGAGAAGUCCACUGAACCUUAUCAUUUAGAGGAAGGAGAAGUCGUAACAAGGUUUCCGUAGGUGAACCUGCGGAAG